rnacentral:rRNA from 1 species
AUACGUAGGGGGCGAGCGUUAUCCGGAUUUAUUGGGCGUAAAGCGUGUGUAGGCGGUUUGUUAAGUUUAAGAUUAAAGCCCGAGGCUUAACCUCGGUUCGUCUUAAAAACUGGCAGACUUGAGUGCAGUAGAGGCAAGUGGAAUUUCUAGUGUAGCGGUUAAAUGCGUAGAUAUUAGAAGGAACACCAGUGGCGAAGGCGGCUGGCUGGGCUGUUACUGAGGCGGAGACACGAAAGCGUGGGGAGCAAAUAGGAUUAGAUCCCCUAGUAGUCCACGCCGUAAACGAUGAGUACUAAGUGUCGGGUAACCGGUGCUGAAGUUAACACAUUAAGUACUCCGCCUGAGUAGUACGGUCGCAAGGCUGAAACUCAAAUGAAUUGACGGGG